GAGCCAAAUGAUGAAGUUGGAUUACAAUAUCUCACGACGGUCGUCUGAUACUUUGAUGUAAUCAUAGUCCAAUUUCCUGAUGGAU